rnacentral:sRNA from 1 species
ACAGCCGGCAAGAACGAGGAUACUUCACAGGGCUGGGCUGCCGAGGAGAGAUGAGAGACUAAGCUGAUGAGAAUCACCAACCAGUUUGAUGACUUGGAGAACAGUCACUUCCUCUUUCUGGGCUACAGUUUUCUCAUCAGUAACUGAAGAGCUUGCAGUACCUUCAACAUUCCUUCAGAGCUGCUCUGUGAGAAGACAAGGAGAAAAUGGUCCCUACAGGAUACUCACCUCUGUCUCAGGGAGACACUCAAGCAUUUAUUCAACCAAGAAAGAGAAUUAGUUCCAGUACAGACAGCCAGCAUGCAGUGAGCACUCAGCGAUGGCCAAGUAUGGGAGAAGCCAUGCUGGAAUGAACAUGUGGGACCAUUUUGUGCAGUUUCUCAGAGGAAGAUAAGAACCAUCUUCAAUGGCACAUGGCAGUUGCCAAAUUGCCAUGAAGCAAUACCUAAAGCCACCUCAUGCUCAGGAGAAAACGCUCACCUUCCCCUCCUGGCUCCCCGUGCUCUACACGUUCAGAGAAACUUCUCUAGUAAUGAACUCAGGAACUGGUCACUGAGAGUAUAGUCUCUAUGGACAGCUUCGGAGCCAUGGAGUGAAGCCGAGCAAAUCCAUGGACUACUGCCCUGCCCCCGGUCUAUCUCGCUAGACUAGGGACAGG